UACGGAGGGUGCAAGCGUUAUCCGGAUUCACUGGGUUUAAAGGGUGUGUAGGCGGGUAUUUAAGUCAGUGGUGAAAUCUCCAGGCUCAACCUGGAAACUGCCAUUGAUACUAUUUAUCUUGAAUCCUGUUGAGGUGGGCGGAAUAUAUCAUGUAGCGGUGAAAUGACUUAGAUAUGAUAUAGAACACCGAUUGCGAAGGCAGCUCACUAAGCAGGUAUUGACGCUGAGGCACGAAAGCGUGGGGAUCAAACAGG
rnacentral:rRNA from 1 species